UUCGCUCCUCUCCCGAAUCCGGGGAGCCUUUCAAAAUAAAACAUUUUACAUUCUCAUAACUCCAAUUUUCACGCUUACAGUAACUUAAAAAUGAAUCAAACGUGAACCGGAAGUGUUCUGGUUUGGAUGUUGAGCAGAAGUGGUUGCUGUCGACCCGUGCCAAAAGCUGGUUCAAUGGCCAUGGCGCUCCUGUUCUUGAUCGGUCAACGAACUCCCCUGACCUUUAACCCCAUAUAAAAUCUAUGAGCUGUGGUCAAGAUGAAGAUGAGAGAUCCAGACCCAAGAAGGCAGAUGACCUGAAGGCCGCUAUCAAAGCACCCUGGAUUUCCAUUGCAUCUACGCAGAACCACAUGCAAGAGGAGCCCAACCAGCACAGGAGAGCUCUGCAGGAAUGCUGCUAAGCUGCAGAUGUACCAGCCAAAUUACUCCAGAGGGGAAUUACCAGGCCAUAAAUCCAGACGUCAGAGAGGAUGGCUGCAGCUUAUUUCACGCAUUUUGAAGAAAUGCCAGACAGGAAGUGAGCUGCAGGGAGGAGAAAGCCGUGACCUUUCCCGGCCGCACCACCUUGGCCAAAGGAUUAAGAAAACAGCGGCCACUGACAAACGUCCAGGAAAUCAGAACCACAUGCUGGAAGGGAGGCAGGCUGAGAUGAAAAAAAGAGUAAAAUUGGAAUCGGCAGGUCACGAUUUUUAAAGAUUGGUAAUGGUGGAUCGGCCAGAAAGCUGCAAUCGGUGCACAGCUAAUAUUGAACAACUCGAACAAAGGCCGACGUUAUGGGCAAGGAAUCCUCAGAUGCUAACUCGGCAUUAUUCCCGCCUGCGGCUGCACCUGAGGGUGAUAUCUCGACUCCCAAGCUUAUUACACCUGCCCGUCAAGCUGCGGCUCGGAGCGAUCUGCCCGGCAACAAACAGGAUCUGAGCUGCCGUUUGGAAUGACCUGCUGCACAGACUUGCUGGCUGGGAGGAAGUUUUCUGUUAGCGGCUGUACUUUUGAGGGCAGAUCAGGACGAUGAGCUGCUGAGAAGAGCUGAGAGCACAUGAAGAGCCACCCCGGACCGAAGCCUCGCCGUUAUUGCCCCAUCAUCCUUGACAAAUAGAGCAGCAGCAGAGAGGCCCUCUUUUCCUGUUUUCCUGAGCAACUCCCUUGACCCGGCUGGCAGGCCCGCCUGCCCUGAAGAGCACUUUCCCUUUCCUCACGGCGCUCCGAGAAGAAAGGAGGGAGGCUGGGAUGGGAGGAGGCGGAGGAGUCGGUGGGGGUCUGACUUAAUCUGACCCAUUGCUCAGCCCUGCCUGCAGCGCGGAGGAGAGCGAGGUCACGCUGGACGAUGAGGGAUGGGCAGGGCGAAGCCUCCACUCCGAGCCAUUUGGCUGAAGACGGAUGUGUGAGGAAGUCCGUGCAGGUCCGCCUGGAGCGGGCAAACACCUGUUCUCCUCAACCUGUGAGGAGGCUGACGAGCCGUCAGUGUGUCAGACUCACUUUCAUUUUGGGCCAUAUCAAAAAUCUGAACGUUCUUAAAGGGCCAGAAUGUCUUGAUAAAAACCCAUUAAACUGUUAAAGUUUCAAUAAAUAGAUGUUCCUCCUGGA